GACGAACGCUGGCGGCGUGCCUAAUACAUGCAAGUCGAGCGGACAGAAGGGAGCUUGCUCCCGGAAGUUAGCGGCGGACGGGUGAGUAACACGUGGGCAACCUACCCUGUAGAUCGGGAUAACAUCGAGAAAUCGGUGCUAAUACCGGAUAAUCAUUUGAAGUGCAUGCUUCGAAUGUAAAAGAUGGCUCCGGCUAUCACUACGGGAUGGGCCCGCGGCGCAUUAGCUAGUUGGUAAGGUAAUGGCUUACCAAGGCAACGAUGCGUAGCCGACCUGGGAGGGUGAUCGGCCACACUGGGACUGAGACACGGCCCAGACUCCUACGGGAGGCAACAGUAGGGAAUCUUCCGCAAUGGACGAAAGUCUGACGGAGCAACGCCGCGUGAGUGAUGAAGGUUUUCGGAUCGUAAAGCUCUGUUGUUAGGGAAGAACAAGUGCCGUUUGAAUAAGGCGGCACCUUGACGGUACCUACCAGAAAGCCACGGCUAACUACGUGCCAGCCGCCGCCGUAAGAC
rnacentral:rRNA from 1 species